AUCUCAAACCUGACUCAGAAACAAAACCAUCUCAAUGUGCAGAGAUGAGCAUCCUUACCCACUAUCAUAACAUAUUUUCUGGUGUUUUCACAGUGCUGCCCUUCCUAAUCCCCAUUCCACGGCAAUCCACAUGCCAUGAUGCCCAGAGGCAUUAACAAAGGAGACACACAGGGGCUACUCACGUUGGCUUUUCAUGGUUUUGAUGAAAAUCUCAGUGUCUUCAUCUCAUACAAUGUGGUUAGUAAUAGUACCAUUUAGGGUUGAAGAAUUAAAUGGUACGAAUUAUAUAGGGUGCUUAUUAUAACCUACAUGGAAAAUGCCUGGGAUAUGUUAGCUAUGCUCAUCACCAACAUCGUUAUAUGAUGGUAAUAAUCAGAUAGUCAGGAAUGCCGACACCAAAAAAAUGGAUACAUGCUCUGAGGGAAUGAAUGUGGAGAGAUCAGAAGGUCAGGAACAAAGCCAUACAACAUGUCUGCAGUAAAGGGAUAGAGAAAAGAAAACCAAAAAGACAUACGCACUUGCAUGUUCAUCGCAGCACUAUUCACAAUAGCAAAGACAUGGAGUCAGCCGAAUUGAGUAUUAACAAGACUAACAGAAGAAAUGUUCUAAAAUUUACACACUAAGUACAUCACAUUUUUCUAAUGAUCACGUUGAUAGAGCAACUUAGAAUCCAUGGUUUUAACAAACCAACAGGC
rnacentral:lncRNA from 1 species